GCGCUAUGGCAGCACAUAUAAUAAAAUUGGAACGAUACAGAGGAGAUUAGCAUGGCCCUUGCUCAAGGAUGACAGGCAAAUUCGUGAAACGUUCCAUAUUGAU